ACCCUGCGUAAGAAGUGUCAGGCCAGGCAGAAUAGGAAUCUUCUGGCAAUACAGCUUAAAAGGUCUCUCUUCAACUAAAUAGCCUGACCUGCCUCUCUUAUCUCCUUGCAGGCAGAAUUGUCAUACUUGGAUAGAAGCUAACAGUGCUACCUAUCUGUCCCCAUAAUACUAUUUCUUUUCCAUUCCUUUCUAGGAUGAAAUAAGAAGAAGCGACUGCCCAAACCCAAGUGCUCCCUAUAGUCCAAUUGUUGGCAGUAAAAAUGACAUCUUUUCAAUAGCAAGGUUUCAUCCAAGAAGAGAAACCAUUCAUGUGGCUUUCAGGAAUGAUGUUGGUGAUUUUAUAAAGAACAGUAUUGAUGGAUCCCAGAGAUAUGAAAGUCCUUCCAUAGCAAGUGGGGAAAAGAAGAGUAAAUCUGAACCUGAAGAAGACUCAAGGGGACAGAAUGACUGCUUUGAAGGAAUUACAGAGCUGGAUUACAGAAAAGGAAUAAGACUUAUUCUGCUUGAGCCCAGAAGGAGAAACUAGGAUUCAGAAAUAAUAAAUGGCAAUUACAAGGAAGUAAAUCA
rnacentral:lncRNA from 1 species